AUUGAACGCUGGCGGCAGGCCUAACACAUGCAAGUCGAACGAAGAUCUAGCUUGCUAGAUCUUAGUGGCGAACGGGUGAGUAAUACAUAAAUAAUCUGCCCAUAUGACUGGGAUAACUAUUGGAAACGAUAGCUAAUACCGGAUAGGUUGAUCGGAGGCAUCUCUGAUGAAUUAAAGUAGGAUUUCUACACAAAUGGAUGAGUUUAUGGCGCAUUAGUUAGUUGGUGGGGUAACGGCCUACCAAGACGAUGAUGCGUAGCCGACCUGAGAGGGUGACCGGCCACACUGGGACUGAGACACGGCCCAGACUCCUACGGGAGGCAGCAGUAGGGAAUUUUCGGCAAUGGGCGCAAGCCUGACCGAGCCACGCCGCGUGAGUGAUUAAGGCCUUCGGGUUGUAAAGCUCUGUUGUAAGGGAAGAACAUUCAGGAUAGGAAAUGAUCUUGAACUGACGGUACCUUACCAGAAAGCCACGGCUAACUACGUGCCAGCCGCCGCCGUAACAC
rnacentral:rRNA from 1 species